AGGUUUCGGCACGGAAUCGGUUUCGCCGGAAGGCGGAUGAAAAGGGAACACGGUGCGGUCGGACCAUCGACCAAAACCGGGACUGCCCCCGCAACUGUAACCGUUGAGCCUUCGUUCACGAUGCCACUGGCCGCGAAAGCGGCCGGGAAGGCGAAGGAAGGCGACGACACGGAAGUCAGGAGACCUGCCUUUUCCGGUCACCCAUG
rnacentral:ncRNA from 1 species